UCCUCGUUUAAACGAGGCAGUCCGUCCAGAGUGCUUCGAACUUUCGUUCGAGUGGCAACAGGACGCAAGGGUUGCGCUCGUUGCGGGACUUAACCCAACAUCUCACGACACGAGCUGACGACAGCCAUGCAGCACCUGUGUACGCUGGUAUUGCUACCUCGUCAGGCUUUCACCCUUCUACUACGUACAUGUCAAGGCCAGGUAAGGUUCUUCGCGUUGCAUCGAAUUAAGCCACAUACUCCACCGCUUGUGCAGGCCCCCGUCAAUUUCUUUGAGUUUUAAUCUUGCGACCGUACUUCCCAGGCGGCACGUUUAUCGCGUUAGCUUCGCCACAAGAGGGGUCGAUUCCUCUUACAGCAAACGUGCACCGUUUACGGCUAGGACUAC
rnacentral:misc_RNA from 1 species